rnacentral:rRNA from 1 species
UUNUGAACUGGGUGACUAGAGUGUNUCAGAGGGAGGUAGAAUUCCACGUGUAGCAGUGAAAUGCGUAGAGAUGUGGAGGAAUACCGAUGGCGAAGGCAGCCUCCUGGGAUAACACUGACGUUCAUGCUCGAAAGCGUGGGUAGCAAACAGGAUUAGAUACCCUGGUAGUCCACGCCCUAAACGAUGUCAAUUAGCUGUUGGGCAACUUGAUUGCUUAGUAGCGUAGCUAACGCGUGAAAUUGACCGCCUGGGGAGUACGGUCGCAAGAUUAAAACUCAAAGGAAUUGACGGGGACCCGCACAAGCGGUGGAUGAUGUGGAUUAAUUCGAUGCAACGCGAAGAACCUUACCUGGUCUUGACAUGUACGGAAUCCUCCAGAGACGGAGGAGUGCCUUCGGGAGCCGUAACACAGGUGCUGCAUGGCUGUCGUCAGCUCGUGUCGUGAGAUGUUGGGUUAAGUCCCGCAACGAGCGCAACCCUUGUCAUUAGUUGCCAUCAUUUAGUUGGGCACUNUAAUGAGACUGCCGGUGACAAGCCGGAGGAAGGUGGGAAUGACGUCAAGUCCUCAUGGCCCUUAUGACCAGGGCUUCACACGUCAUNCAAUGGUCGGUACAGAGGGUAGCCAAGCCGCGAGGUGGAGCCAAUCUCACAAAACCGAUNGUAGUCCGGA